rnacentral:rRNA from 1 species
GAAUUUGGACAUGGGGGCACCCUGCAUCCAGCCAUGCCGCGUUGUGUGUAAGAAGGCCUUUUGGUUGUAAAGCACUUUAAGCAGAUGAAGAAGACUCCAUGGAUAAUACCCAUGGCACGAUGACAUUAGCUGCAUAAUAAGCACCGGCUAACUCUGUGCCAGCCAGCCGCGGUAAUACCCGAGGGUGACAUGCGUUUAUUCGCGAAUUACUGGGGCGUAAAGCGAGCGUAGGUGGCUUGAUAAGUCAGAUGUGAAAUCCCCGGGCUUAACCUGGGAACUGCAUCUGAUACUGUUAGGCUAGAAUAGGUGAGAGGAAGGUAGAAUUCCAGGUGUAGCGGUGAAAUGCGUAGAGAUCUGGAGGAAUACCGAUGGCGAAGGCAGCCUUCUGGCAUCAUAUUGACACUGAGGUUCGAAAGCGUGGGUAGCAAACAGGAUUAGAUACCCUGGUAGUCCACGCCGUAAACGAUGUCUACUAGUCGUUGGGUCCCUUGAGGACUUAGUGACGCAGCUAACGCAAUAAGUAGACCGCCUGGGGAGUACGGCCGCAAGGUUAAAACUCAAAUGAAUUGACGGGGGCCCGCACAAGCGGUGGAGCAUGUGGUUUAAUUCGAUGCAACGCGAAGAACCUUACCUGGUCUUGACAUAUCUAGAAUCCUGCAGAGAUGCGGGAGUGCCUUCGGGAAUUAGAAUACAGGUGCUGCAUGGCUGUCGUCAGCUCGUGUCGUGAGAUGUUGGGUUAAGUCCCGCAACGAGCGCAACCCUUGUCCUUAGUUACCAGCGGGUUAAGCCGGGAACUCUAAGGAUACUGCCAGUGACAAACUGGAGGAAGGCGGGGGACGACGUCCAAUUCUCCAUGGCCCUUACGACCAGGGCUACACACGUGCUACAAUGGUAGGUACAGAGGGCAGCUACACAGCGAUGUGAUGCGAAUCUCAAAAAGCCUAUCGUAGUCCAGAUUGGAGUCUGCAACUCGACUCCAUGAAGUAGGAAUCGCUAAAUCGCGGAUCAGAAUGCCGCGGGAACUCAR